rnacentral:misc_RNA from 1 species
GAUGAAGAACGCAGCGAAAUGCGAUAAGUAAUGUGAAUUGCAGAAUUCAGUGAAUCAUCGAAUCUUUGAACGCACAUUGCGCCCGCCAGUAUUCUGGCGGGCAUGCCUGUUCGAGCGUCAUUUCAACCCUCAAGACCCCUUCGGGGGACUUGGUGUUGGGGACCGGCACAGGGGCCUGCCUGCUUGUCUUGCAGCGCCCUCGCCGCCCCCGAAAUGAAUUGGCGGCCUCGUCGCGGCCUCCCCUGUGUAGUAGCACAACCUCGCAACGGGAACGUGACGGCGGCCACUGCCGUAAAACAACCCCAAUUUUAUUAGAGUUGACCUCGAAUCAGGUAGGAAUACCCGCUGAACUUAAGCAUAUCAAUAAGCGGAGGA